AUUAAAGAUUUGGUCCUGGUCUUUUUAUUGAUUACUAGCAGAACUACACAUGCAAGCAUCUACAUACCAGUGAGAAUGCCCUUCGACACUUAAAGACUUAAAGGAGUAGGUAUCAAGCACACUAAAAAGUAGCUCAAGACACCUUGCCUAGCCACACCCCCACGGGAUACAGCAGUGAUUAAAAUUUAGCAAUGAACGAAAGUUUGACUAAGUUAUGUUAUUUAGGGUUGGUAAAUAUCGUGCCAGCCACCGCGGUCAUACGAUAAACCCAAAUCAAUAAGCACUCGGCGUAAAGCGUGUCACACUUUAACAAUUACAAUAAGGCUAAGACUUAACUAAGCUGUAAAAAGCCAUAGCUACAACAAAACUAAGUGACGAAAGUAGCCUUACUACCCUAAUUCAGACACGAAAGCUAAGAACCAAACUGAGAUUGAGAUACCUCACUAUGCUUAGCCGUAAACCUAAUGAAUUCAAAAUAAAACAAAAUUCUUCGCCUGAGGACUACUAGCAACAGCCUAAAACUCAAAGGACUUGGCGGUGCUUUAUAUCCAUCUAGAGGAGCCUGUUCUAUAAUCGAUAAACCCCGAUAUACCUUACCAUCUAUUGCAACUCAGCCUAUAUACCGCCAUCUUCAGCAAACCUUAACAAAGGACAGAAGUAAGCACAAUAAUCUUAUCAUAAAAACGUUAGGUCAAGGUGUAGCCUAUGAGAUGGGAAGAAAUGGGCUACAUUUUCUAAACCAGAACAUAACCACGCUAAUUAACAUGAAACUUGUUAAUCAAAGGAGGAUUUAGUAGUAAAUUAAGAAUAGAGAGCUUAAUUGAAUAGAGCAAUGAAGCGCGUACACACCGCCCGUCACCCUCCUCAACCUAUCAAAUCAUGACUAUAAAUAAAUCAUGUAAAGAUACUAGAGGAGAUAAGUCGUAACAAGGUAAGAUACUGGAAAGUGUGCUUGGAAAA
rnacentral:ncRNA from 1 species